CAACAGGGAUUGCCCUAGUAACGGCGAGUGAAGCGGCAACAGCUCAAAUUUGAAAUCUGGCUCUCGGGCCCGAGUUGUAAUUUGUAGAGGAUGACUUUGAUGCGGUGCCUUCCGAGUUCCCUGGAACGGGACGCCAUAGAGGGUGAGAGCCCCGUCUGGUUGGAUGCCAAAUCUCUGUAAGUCUCCUUCGACGAGUCGAGUAGUUUGGGAAUGCUGCUCUAAAUGGGAGGUAUAUGUCUUCUAAAGCUAAAUACCGGCCAGAGACCGAUAGCGCACAAGUAGAGUGAUCGAAAGAUGAAAAGCACUUUGAAAAGAGAGUUAAAAAGUACGUGAAAUUGUUGAAAGGGAAGCGUUUAUGACCAGACUUGGGCUUGGUUAAUCAUCUGGGGUUCUCCCCAGUGCACUUUUCCAGUCCAGGCCAGCAUCAGUUUUCGCCGGGGGACAAAGACUUCGGGAAUGUGGCUCCCCUCGGGGAGUGUUAUAGCCCGUUGUGUAAUGCCCUGGCGGGGACUGAGGUUCGCGCUUCUGCAAGGAU
rnacentral:rRNA from 1 species